GUUUUAAUAAUUUAAUAAAAAUAUUGGUCUUGUAAGCCAAAAUUAAGAACUUUCUUUUAAAACU
rnacentral:tRNA from 1 species